UGGGGAAUUUUGGACAAUGGGGGCAACCCUGAUCCAGCAAUGCCGCGUGUGUGAAGAAGGCCUUCGGGUUGUAAAGCACUUUUGUCCGGGAAGAAAUCGCACCUGAUAAUACCGGGUGUGGAUGACGGUACCGGAAGAAUAAGGACCGGCUAACUACGUGCCAGCAGCCGCGGUAAUACGUAGGGUCCAAGCGUUAAUCGGAAUUACUGGGCGUAAAGCGUGCGCAGGCGGUUGUGCAAGACCGAUGUGAAAUCCCCGGGCUUAACCUGGGAAUUGCAUUGGUGACUGCACGGCUAGAGUGUGUCAGAGGGGGGUAGAAUUCCACGUGUAGCAGUGAAAUGCGUAGAGAUGUGGAGGAAUACCGAUGGAGAAGGCAGCCCCCUGGGAUAACACUGACGCUCAUGCACGAAAGCGUGGGGAGCAAACAGG
rnacentral:rRNA from 1 species